UUGUCGGGUUUGGAGUAUCUCUUCGGGAGGAGGAGAUUCGACAUCUUCCGGUUCACCUAUUCGAGGAUCAACUGUAUGGGUUUCAUCAAUCGGGUUAUCUUCAGUUUCUGGGAUUUCUGAUUGGGGAGGCUCGGCCAUGGCUUGUGCCGACUUUCCAGCUAAGAAAUCCUCCAAAUCUCUCACGUCUAUCGAAGACGGCUUAAUCAAAGAUACUGCAAAAGACAGAAGGAUCACAUGUCAAAAUUUACAUCAUUAAACAUUUUCAAAUAAUUAUGCAGUCAAGUAAAUCAGAACUUACAUUUGUGGUCAUACAACCAGGC
rnacentral:lncRNA from 1 species